rnacentral:lncRNA from 1 species
GAUUUUUCUUUCGAGCAUGAAAAAACGAUUCUAUAAAUACAUAUUUUUGGAUUUUAAACACGAGUUUGUUACCUCAUUUGUAAAAUAGAUCCACCGCCUAAAUUAUGGGCAACUUCGGUGGCUUUUGCAUUCAUGCUUCAGUUGUGUGCUUGGUCAACUUUGGUGGCUUUUGUGUUUGUGCUUCAGAGUUCAGACGUGUAUUUGUAUCUUCAUCGUAUAGUUGUAGUUGCUUGAGCUCCCCUGGUGAGUGGGCGGUGGGUGGUGUCCGAAGCGGUCUGUGGGAGCCGCACAAAGCUGUAUUGCCUAUAUAAUCUUGAGAGAAAGCCAUCUGAAAAGCAACAUAUUGGAUGUGUUUCUUUCUCCAAUUGAAGACCUGGAUUUGGCGGUUUUACAAGGUGAAGUCUUCGCACUCUCACCUAGCUGAUCUUGUUUAAACUUAUUUCAUUCUUGAUUAGAUACAAAUAGUGUGUGCAUAAUUUUAAAAGUGAUCAGCGUCACCAUGUUUAUGAUAUAUGUAUGUACGUGUACAUUUUAAAUGAAUGCAUCAUUUAUUUAUAAUAUCAAGAAUUCGCAAAGAUCUUAAGCCAAAGACUAACUAUCUAAGAGAAAAUUACAAAUCAAAUGAGUAAACGAGUAACAGCAAUAUUCAAUUUACCUAAAGUCAAAUUCUCCACAUUUAUUAACACCUAUCAUGUAUUAAAUAUAUAACCAUUUUACAUUAAUCCACUUGCCUUCAUUUGAUCUUGAUUAACAUAGACCCAGGGCAUCCUCACGCAUUGCGUGAGGCUGAAAAAACUAGUAAGAAAUGAAAAGAGAGGGACUAGGGGGCCUAGGGAAGGGGACGACAAGUUUUAACUUAAAAUUUUAAUCUUUUACCUUGAGAAUUCAGGGAAAAUUCCAUGCCAGUUGAUUAAUACACAAUGAAAUUUACUGUCAAUUCCAAGAAAAUGAACUAAUACUUAAACCUGAUUGCAAAAAUGAUGAAAUUAAAAAAAAAAGAACAGAAAAUUAUGAAUUACCCCAAAAGAAGAAAAUAAAAAUUAAAUAGUUGAUCCUUAAAUGCGUGGAAAUUGUAGAUUACGAUGACAACAAAUGGAUUUAAUGUUCGACGGAAUUUGUAAUCAAGUGAAGCUCAAAUCUGGAAUUUGUAAUUGGGAGAAUAAAUUUUUCAGAGAUAAUAAAACAAACAAAUGUCCCGUUUGGCAAAUGAGUUUUUCGAAUGUUCGCCUAAAAUUUUAUUAUAACUUACUGUAAAAGUUGUAGGAAAAUUUUUUAAGAUGGAAAACUUUUUUUCCUUUUCUUUAUUCUUUUUCUCUUUCUCUUUCUCUUUCUUUUUUUUUCUUUUAUUUCCUCUCAUUUUCUUCUCCUUUCCCCCUCCCUUUCUCUCUACCCUGCCACCCUCCCUGGUCGCAAGUCUGGGGGAGAGGGAAAAGGAGGAGGGAGAGAAAAAAGGAAAGAAGCUUCUUUCUGUCGGCGCUGGAAAAGGUGUUAGGUAGUGGUGGUAGGUUGAAGUGGGGGAAAGAAAAAGAAAGGAAUAAUGAAAAUUGUUUUGUGUGUAGUUUAAAAUUUUGAAAAAUUUUUUUAGGUUACUGUAAUUAAAAUUAUUAAAAAACUGGUAGUAAACAAACUUGGACAAAACCUCAUUUGUCAAAAAAGUCCUUUGGAGGAAAAGAAAUUAAACAUACCUUAGUACAUGGUACAAAAUCCUAUAGAAAUAUGGCAAAAUGAUAAAGAAGAGAGAAAAGAAAAACUUCAAAUAAAUGGUCAUUACAAUUGUGCUGACUAUUAAAAGGCAAAGAUAAAGGAUUAGUAUGGGAAAAAAUACAAACAAUUAGAGUAAAAGAGAAAGAUGAAAAAAAAUUAGGUAAUUAGACAGAUAAAGUAACGAUAGCAACCAUGAUUACACAUCUAAUUACAACUUUAAUUAGCCACUUGAAUUACAAAACACAUAAGUAGUUUCCAAAUCAUUCAUACCAUAAACACAAUUUGUAGUAGACUUUUGGAAACAAAAUUAAGGGCAAAAACCCUAACAAUCAAUUACUUGCACCACAUGCCACAAAUGUAUAUGAACCCAUGCUGAAAAUACAAUCUCAGCCCCUAAGAGGCAAAAGAAAUUCAACACAAGAGUUUGACUAAAAGUGUUUUUUAUAUAAUAUAAGAAAAUAUUUAAAAAUAAAUAAAUAAGAUAAACUGUUACCUUUUUCUUUUUUCAUAUUGCACCCACCAUUACUAAUCACCGCCACCUUUUUUCCUUAUUCUUCCUCCAAUGCUGCUACUUCCUUUCCCUAUGAUUUUCUUUCCGUCCUCUCUUUCCUUCCUCUUUUUCUUCUAUCUUUCCUUUCCUCUAUUCUACUUCUUCUCCCAUAACCAGUCUCUUUCUUUCAUUUCCUCGGUGAACUUCCUCUUCCUCUCAUUCCCUACUGGUUGCUGGUUUGGUCACGAUUACAACUAAUAGGGGAAGAGAGAGAGGGUAGGGUGGUCACAUCUAAUUCGUGACUAGAUCUAGGAAAAAGGAGGGAGAGGAAGGUGGUUGUAGGAGAAAAAAUGGGAAUAGAUGGGAAUGGAAGGGGACGAGAAGGAUGGAGAGGGAAGGGACAGGGGAAAGGGACGAAGAGAGGAGAAAGAGGAAAAGGGUGGAGGCGUUAGAGGAAAAAGAAAUAGAGGGGAGCAGCAGUAGUAGGUGGUAGAAGGACGACAUCCUCC